AUUGAACGCUGGCGGCGUGCCUUACACAUGCAAGUCGAACGGUAACGCGGGGCAACCUGGCGACGAGUGGCGAACGGGUGAGUAAUGCAUCGGAACGUGCCCAGUAGUGGGGGAUAGCCCGGCGAAAGCCGGAUUAAUACCGCAUACGACCUACGGGUGAAAGGGGGGGAUCGCAAGACCUCUCGCUAUUGGAGCGGCCGAUGUCAGAUUAGGUAGUUGGUGGGGUAAAGGCCUACCAAGCCUACGAUCUGUAGCUGGUCUGAGAGGACGACCAGCGACACUGGGACUGAGACACGGCCCAGACUCCUACGGGAGGCAGCAGUGGGGAAUUUUGGGCAAUGGGCGCAAGCCUGAUCCAGCCAUGCCGCGUGCGGGAAGAAGGCCUUCGGGUUGUAAACCGCUUUUGUCAGGGAAGAAAUCUUCUGGGCUAAUACCCUGGGAGGAUGACGGUACCUGAAGAAUAAGCACCGGCUAACUACGUGCCAGCCGCCGCCGUAA
rnacentral:rRNA from 1 species